UACGGAAGGCAGCAGUGGGGAAUAUUGCACAAUGGGCGAAAGCCUGAUGCAGCUAUGCCGCGUGUAUGAAGAAGGCCUUAGGGUUGUAAAGUACUUUCAUCGGGGAGGAAAAAACAAAACUAAUAAUUUUAUUUCUUGACGUUACCCGAAAAAGAAGCACCGGCUAACUCCGUGCCAGCAGCCGCGGUAAUACGGAGGGUGCUAGCGUUAAUCAGAAUUACUGGGCGUAAAGAGCACGUAGGUGGUUUUUUUAAGUCAGAUGUGAAAUCCCUGGGCUUAACCUGGAAACUGCAUUUUGAAACUGAAAUACUAGAGUAUCGUAGAGGGAGGUAGAAUUCUAGGUGUAGCGGUGAAAUGCGUAGAUAUCUGGAGGAAUACCUGUGGCGAAAGCGGCCUCCUAAACGAAUACUGACACUGAGGGUGCGAAAGCGUGGGGAGCAAACAGGGAUUAGAUACC
rnacentral:rRNA from 1 species